rnacentral:rRNA from 1 species
GACGAACGCUGGCGGCGUGCUUAACACAUGCAAGUCGAACGCUGAACCCGCUUCGGUGGGGGAUGAGUGGCGAACGGGUGAGUAACACGUGGGCAACCUGCCCCCGGCUCUGGGAUAACUCCAAGAAAUUGGGGCUAAUACCGGAUGUGACCGCUGGCCGCAUGGUCUGGUGGUGGAAAGGGUUUCCGGCUGGGGAUGGGCCCGCGGCCUAUCAGCUUGUUGGUGGGGUAGUGGCCUACCAAGGCGACGACGGGUAGCCGGCCUGAGAGGGUGACCGGCCACACUGGGACUGAGACACGGCCCAGACUCCUACGGGAGGCAGCAGUGGGGAAUAGUGCGCAAUGGGCUGAAGCCUGACGCAGCGACGCCGCGUGGGGGAUGACGGCCUUCGGGUUGUAAACCUCUUCCAGCAGGGACGAAGCGCAAGUGACGGUACCUGCAGAAGAAGCACCGGCCAACUACGUG